rnacentral:rRNA from 1 species
GACGAACGCUGGCGGCGUGCCUAACACAUGCAAGUCGAGCGAGUGAAUCUCCUUCGGGAGUGAAGCUAGCGGCGGACGGGUGAGUAACACGUGGGCAACCUGCCUCAUAGAGGGGAAUAGCCUUUCGAAAGGAAGAUUAAUACCGCAUAAGAUUGUAGCUUCGCAUGAAGUAGCAAUUAAAGGAGCAAUCCGCUAUGAGAUGGGCCCGCGGCGGAUUAGCUAGUUGGUGAGGUAACGGCUCACCAAGGCGACGAUGCGUAGCCGACCUGAGAGGAUGAUCGGCCACAUUGGGACUGAGACACGGCCCAGACUCCUACGGGAGGCAGCAGUGGGGAAUAUUGCACAAUGGGGGAAACCCUGAUGUAGCAACGCCGCGUGAGUGAUGACGGCCUUCGGGUUGUAAAGCUCUGUCUUCAGGGACGAUAAUGACGGUACCUGAGGAGGAAGCCACGGCUAACUACGUGCCAGCAGCCGCCGUAACAC